rnacentral:rRNA from 1 species
UACGUAGGGUGCGAGCGUUGUCCGGAAUUAUUGGGCGUAAAGAGCUCGUAGGCGGUGUGUCGCGUCGGCCGUGAAAACCUGGGGCUCAACUCUGGGCGUGCGGUCGAUACGGGCAUCACUUGAGUUCGGCAGGGGAGACUGGAAUUCCUGGUGUAGCGGUGAAAUGCGCAGAUAUCAGGAGGAACACCGGUGGCGAAGGCGGGUCUCUGGGCCGAUACUGACGCUGAGGAGCGAAAGCGUGGGGAUCGAACAGG